rnacentral:rRNA from 1 species
UACAGAGACCUCAAGCGUUAUCCGGAAUCAUUGGGCGUAAAGCGUUCCGAUAGGUUGUUUUGAAAGUUUUGGGUAAAAGCCAGAAGCUCAACUUCUGCGUUUGCUCAAAAUACUGCAAAACUAGAGGGGCAAAGAGGUGCUUGGAACGAACGGUGUAGUAGUGAAAUGCGUUGAUAUCGUUCGGAACACCGAAAGCGAAGGCAGAGCACUGGGUGCCACCUGACACUGCUAGGACGAGAGCGUGGGGAGCGAAUGGG